rnacentral:rRNA from 1 species
GACGAACGCUGGCGGCGUGCCUAACACAUGCAAGUCAACUUGACUGAAGGAGCAAUCUGACAGUAGAGUGGCGCAAGGGUGCGUAACGCGUAAGUAACUUGCCCCAAGGUAAGGAAUAACGUCGAGAAAUCGGCGCUAAUACCUCAUAAUGCAGCGGAUCCGCAUGGAUAUGUUGUUAAAGGUUUACCGCCUUGGGAUAGGCUUGCGUCUGAUUAGCUAGUUGGUGUGGUAACGGCACACCAAGGCUACGAUCAGUAACUGGUCUGAGAGGAUGAUCAGUCACACUGGAACUGAGACACGGUCCAGACUCCUACGGGAGGCAGCAGUGAGGAAUAUUGGGCAAUGCUCGAAGAGUGACCCAGCAACGCCGCGUGGAGGAUGAAGGUAUUCUAUAUCGUAAACUCCUGUGAGAGCAGACGAAAGACAGAUUAUUAAUCUGGAUGACUGUAUGCUCAGAGGAAGCCCCGG